UGACCCCUAACAAGGAAAUCAUCGGAUACCCUCAGGAAAAUGGUAAAUUAGAAGCGACAAUCUGUGGCAGGCCUAAAUUAUAAUCCUUCGAUGGUUCAAGAAACUUCAGAACCAAAACAACAUGUUCGCAGGAAACAGGAAGGCAAGAGAAUGAAUAAAGACGUUCGAAGAUACCUUACUUGUGUUUAUGGCAGAUAACAAGUUAAGAACAGAAAAUAGAGCGGAAUACAGUUACCAUCAUGCCGCAAAGUUGUUAUCCAAAGGGAUGGAUAUUCUGUACAGUAUCCCUGUAUCAAUACUAUUCAAGUGAAAACAGAAAAGGCAACUGUUUUUUAUUUAUGAACACUGAGGGUUUCCUGGUGUAAAGUCUUCUGGUGUGUCCCUCCGUCUCCGUCGUCAGCCAGUACAUAUCUUAAUUAACGCUGUUUUUAU